rnacentral:lncRNA from 1 species
CUGCCACAGUACGAUGUGGGGCUUUUGGCUGCUCCUCUUCUGGGGUGAGUAUGAGGUUGAAUGGGGCAUGGAUGGCUGAGGUGUGGGCUGGAAAUAGGUUGCAGGGAGAAAGGCCAACCUUGGAGGGGUUCGGCCCAUAGGCUAAUGUCUAUUGCACACAGCAAACUUUACCUUGGGAAACCUUUGACAAAAUUCCUUGACUUAGGGAAGUCUAUUCACCAGGGUAGAUCUUCCUGUAGCUGUUCAUGUGGCAUGUCUGUGUUUGUGAGCCAUCUCAGUUUUAGUUAGAAUUUAACAUGGAGUAAACUUGUGAGGCUCCGGUGCGUGCAUCUGGGAUGGUGCAAGGGGGAUGGAAGUCCACACAGCAAUGGAAACAGUCCCCUUACCAUUGCGUAGCCCUUUUUUAUCAGCCAUAGCUCACAAAGCAGAACAUGGGUGUGAAAGAGGUAACUUGCCGGGCUUUGGCAACAGUUUAGUGUGUAAAGUGCUUGUCCUACAAGCACAAAGAUCUGGAUUUGAUCCCAGAAUUUAUGUUAAAAAACCAAGUAUGUGGUACACUUCUACCUCUGGCUCUGGAGAGUAGAGAAGGAGGAUUCCUUGGUUCUUGAUGGCCAGCUAGCCUAGCCCAAUUGGUGGAUUCCAGAUCAGUGAGAAAGUCUGUCUCUAAACAAUUAAGGUAGAUGGAACUGGAGAAAGGUGUUUGAGGUCAUCCUCUGGUUCCUACAUGCCAGUACACACAAGUGCAUGUUCACCUGCACUACACAUUGCACAAUGUCAUGCACACACAACACAAGUGCAAUGCACACACAGACAUGCAAUGCACACAAAAGGCACAUGUGUACUCACAGAUGCAAAAAGAAAUACUGUGAGCAAGUCUUAGCUAAUGAGGGGUAGAGCCACGGUAUAAAAUCAUUCCAGCUCUGGCCUUGUUCAAACUCUUAGUCAUGGCUGGUUUGUGCUGUGGGAGUCAGCGAAGAUAGUCCCGUUCUAGAAAUAGACUCGGGGCUACACCUUCCUUUUCUGGCUCCUGUUGCUUUUGUUUUGGGCACUAGCGCAUUUCACUGUGUGAUCUUCCACGUCACUGGUUUUCUCGCGUGUUUGCAAGAUUUUUUUUCCCCAUUGUUUUAAAUUUAGAUGGGAGAUAUGGAUUUCCGGUUUUAGGGAUGAGAAGAGGGAUCUAUUUUGCCUCACAGUUUGAGAUGGUAUGGUCUGCCAUGUUGUGGAAGCCUUGGAAGAGUCAUAGUUAGAUGGUGGGCUGGCACUGCUUUCUGCUUGUUGACUGUGAAGCAGAGAGCUAAGAAGUUGAACUGGCGUACAUAUUUUCAGGUCCCCUCCCAUGGCCUCAUCUCUAAACUUCCUCAGACAACACCACCAUCUGGUGACCAAUAGGUUAAACACAUGAUUGUGUUGGUUACAUUUCACAUCCAAACCACAGCAAACAGCUAGCCUGCAUACAUGUAUAUGUACAUUACAUGUACAUAUAUGUGUCUUACACACAUAAAGGCAAUAAUUUUAAUAUCGUCUCAAGAAUGAACUUAAAAUAAUAUCAUGCUUAUUUACUUAAAUACAUUUUAAUUUAUUCUUUGAGGAUUUCAUACAUAAAGGCAGUAAUUUUGAUUACCUGCACCUCCGUGCCACUCUACUCUGAGACCUCUCUUCACUGUGACCAUCUCUAACAUCAUGUCCUACUUUAAAGAAAACCCACUGAGAGCAGGGUGACCUUCUGGGGCAUAUCCCUGAAGCAAGAGGAUUCUCCUCUUAGCAGCCAUUGACUCUCAGUAGAUCAUCAGCUCCUCAGGAUGGGACCAGACUAGAAUGUUGGCUGGCUUGACCGUGCAGGUUUCAUGUAGGCAGCCACAACUGACAUGAAUGUUUAACUAAAAUCAUGCUUGGAAGUCAGUAAGCAGCACCUUCCAUGGCCUCUGCCUCAGCUCCUGCCUCCAGGUUCCUACCCAGUGUGAAAGUCUUAAAAUGUUAAAGAAAGUGCUGCAGGAGAGGAUUUUUAAAUAUUCUCACACAAAGAAAUAACAAACGUUUUAGAGGAAGCAUAAAAGCUAGAAACAAAACAAGACCUCCAC